CACAUCUAGCAAAUAAAGAAAGCACAUUGGAACUUAAUGGCAGUAGCAAAAACAAGGCUAGAAACAUAUAUUUAAGGCAGUGGUCUUUAACUUUUAAAUGUUUAGAAAUCAUUAUUUACCAAAGCAGGAUAGACGGGAAAACUGUAUCUUAAUUGCUAAGUGACUUUGGCAAGCUGCACUCCUAAAGGCAGCGAACUGGGGACUGCCUGUAACAAAUAUGGCACUGAAGCUACAACCAGCCACAUGACUGCCCUCAUCUAAGAUGGCACUGAAGCAAUAGCAUAGCAAAACCUUAUCUGCCUACAACAAAGACAGUCACAGAACUUCCCCUAGUUAAGAUGGCGCUAAAAGUCACUGUUAUCCCCUAGAAUGGAGCUGUAGGAAUGUGCCUGUGUGACUUAGAAUGGAACAACAGAAGCAUUACAAAGACAAACAUACUGAUGAAUCUAAGCAGUGCAGCGUGAGGGGCGUGGCUUGGCGGCAAGCGAUGGCUACGGGAGUGUGCCUGUGGCUUGGCAGAGCAGAAUAUCAGCAUGGGGGUCAAGAGUAGAGAGCAGCGCCUGAAGCAGCGUUCUGUCUUCUAGCAACUCUGCUCAGGAGGGCUGCUUUACCUUAGCCGUCCCAGCAGCAGCAUGAAAGUCCACUCAAGCUCAAAUCAUGGAACCAGCUGGUCAUGGCCAGAAACUUCGGAGGUCGUGAGCCAGAAUGACCUUUCCCCUUUAGGUCGGUGUUUCAAGGAUUUGAUUUCAGGAAUGAAACAUCAAGUAAAUCAAACCUAGAAUGUCUGCAGGAACCGGAUUUAAGAUGUGGAAAGAUGACAUCUCUGGCCCGGGGUCACACAGCUAGUAGCCACUGAUUGAAUCCAGACUAUUUUAAUGAGCGUUCAGAUUCUUAGCCCUCCCGCUGCAGUGGGAAAGACUUAAUGAGAAUGUGAACUUACAAGUGAUUACUUUUUCGGCCUUUCUGACCCUUUCAUAGCAGUCUUAUUUAUAAUAGCCAGGAGCUGGAAAGAACCCAGAUGUCCUUCAACAGAGGAA